ACCUGGUUGAUCCUGCCAGUAGUCAUAUGCUUGUCUCAAAGAUUAAGCCAUGCAUGUCUAAGUAUAAGCGAGUAUACUGUGAAACUGCGAAUGGCUCAUUAAAUCAGUUAUGGUUUAUUUGAUGGUACCUUACUACUUGGAUACCCGUAGUAAUUCUAGAGCUAAUACAUGCAGGAGUUCGUGCGCGGCUCGUCCGCGCGCGAUGUAUUUAUUAGAUAAGAGACCAACCCGCCUCGUGCGGUUGCGUGCCGAGUCAUAAUAACUGUUCGAAUCGCAUGGCUCUGACGCCGGCGAUGGUUCAUUCAAAUUUCUGCCCUAUCAGCUUUCGAUGGUAGGAUAGAGGCCUACCAUGGCGUUAACGGGUAACGGGGAAUUAGGGUUCGAUUCCGG
rnacentral:rRNA from 1 species